UUGAAAGUCUAGAGGUAAAAGCAGAUGGUUCUUACCACACUAAUUUGAGUGUUUAUCCAUACAGAACAGCAAAGUCACUUGAAAGUAGACUGAAAGUGAAGCAUUUGCAGGACUGUAGCAAAACAAGGACAAAUGGAAGAAAAUAAUACAGUUUGUUCCUCUUCACCGGUAUACCGUGACUCACCAGGCGAUACCUCAUCAUGGUUAAUAACUGCAUCUCCAGAAUUUGAACAGCUUAUAAAUAAUGAGAGGAUAUGAUG